UUCAGAGUCUCCCAGGUCAGGCCGGAGUUCUUGCGCACCACGGCGACCGCGAAAUACGACGAGGCGUCUGAGAGGAGCGAGAAGCACGCAGAUAAAAGGAUAUAUAUCAGUGAGCUGCUUACCCUCCUCGACAGGCUUGUCCUCGAUGCCUUUCCAUUGUAUCUGGUCGUUGGCGAGCAGGGUACCGAUAGGAAUGUUCCACCCUGCGGUUUUACCCAAACCUGUGUGGCACGAUUUCUUCCCGUGGAGUUGGUUCAGAUUGAAGCCGCUUCCUUUCUUCACUACAGCAACAGCGUAGUAGCAGGUCUCCUCAUCUACAACGUUAUUAAACCAUCACUCACAUGAGACUGAUGGGUUUUAUUUAGUAAUGAUAAAUAAAUGUAAUAUUUUUAUGUAUUCGGGUUAGACUACCCUCGCCAUAAUGUUCAGCGAUGAUGGGGUGAAGUUCGUGAGGCAUCAGGCCGGCUUUGUAAAUGUCUCCUCCAUCCAGAGUGAUGGCGUCAGCUUCAUCCGCCUGAUCACACAGGUUACACAGGUCAUAACAUUUACAUUAUCAGCAUUUAGCAGCACUUUUAUACAAAGUGACUUACUUAGUUUUGAGGUUUAAGGGCCUUGUUCAAGGGCCCAACAGUGACAACCUGGCGACCUUUUGAUUACUAGCCCAAUACCGUAACCACUAGGCUACACCUGCCCUGAAUUCCAAACUCAUAAAUCAUAUUUUACUGCAAUAAAUAAAUGUAGAUUUUACCUUGA